GUAUGGCUCUCUUUCUUGGACUAUUUCUCUGUCUUGGUCUCUGUCUUGGUCUCUGUCUUGGUCUCUGUCUUGGUCUAUGUCUUGGUCUCUGUCUUGGUCUCUGUCUUGGUCUUGGUCUCUGUCUUGGUCUCUGUCUUGGUCUCUGUCUUGGUCUCUGUCUCGGUUUCUGUCUUGGCCUCUGUCUUGGUCUCUGUCUUGGUCUCUGUCUUGGUCUCUGUUUUGGUCUCUGUCUCUGUCUUGGUCUCUGUCUUGGACUCUGUCUUGGUCUCUGUUUUGGUCUCGGUCUUGGUCUCGGUCUCUGUCUUGGUCUCUGUUUUGGUCUCUGUUUUGGUCUCUGUUUUGGUCUUGGUCUCUGUCUUGGUCUCUGUUUUGGUCUCUGUCUCUGUCUUGGUCUCUGUCUUGGUCUCUGUCUUGGUCUCUGUCUCGGUCUCUGUCUUGGUCUCUGUCUUGGCCUCUGUCUUGGUCUCUGUCUUGGUCUCUGUCUUGGUCUCUGUUUUGGUCUCUGUCUUGGUCUCGGUCUCUGUCUUGGUCUCUGUCUUUGUCUUGGUCUCUGUCUUGGUCUCUGUCUUGGUCUCUGUCUUGGUCUCUGUCUUGGUCUAUGUCUUGGUCUCUAUCUUGGUCUCUGUUUUGGACUCUGUCUUGGUCUCAGUCUCUGUAUUGGUCUCUGUCUUGGUCUUGGCCUCUGUCUUGGCCUCUGUUUUGGUCUCUGUCUUGGUCUAUGUCUUUGUCUUGGUCUCUGUCUUGGUUUGGUCUCUGUCUUGGUCUCUGUCUUGGUUUGGUCUCUGUCUUGGUCUCUGUCUUGGUCUCUGUCUUGGUAUUGGUCUCUGUCUUGGUUUCUGUCUUGGUCUCUGUCUUGGUCUCUGUCUUGGUCUUGGCCUCUGUCUUGGUCUCUGUUUUGGUCGCUGUCUUGGUCUCUGUCUUGGUCUCUGUCUUGGUCUCUGUCUUGGUCUCUGUUUUGGUCUCUGUCUUGGUCUCUGUCUUGGUCUCAGUCUCUGUCUUGGUCUUGGCCUCUGUCUUGGUCUCUGUCUCUGUCUUGGUCUAUGUCUUUGUCUUGGUCUCUGUCUUGGUUUGGUCUCUGUCUUGGUCUCUGUCUUGGUCUCUGUCUUGGUUUGGUCUCUGUCUUGGUCUCUGUCUUGGUAUUGGUCUCUGUCUUGGUAUUGGUCUCUGUCUUGGUUUCUGUUUUGGCCUCUGUCUUGGUCUAUGUCUUGGUCUCUGUUUUGGCCUCUGUCUUGGUCUCUGUCUUGGUCUCUGUUUUGGUCUCUGUUUUGGUCUCUGUCUUGGUCUUGGCCUCUGUCUUGGCCUCUGUUAUGGUCGCUGUCUUGGUCUCUGUCUUGGUCUCUAUCUUGGCCUCUGUCUUGGCCUCUGUCUUGGCCUCUGUUUUGGGCUCUGUCUUGGUCUUGGCCUCUGUCUUGGUCUCUGUCUUGGUUUCAGUCACGGUCUCUCCCCAUCCGUCUAUCUACUGUAAAUACAGUAUGUCUCUGUGAGUAGACCACUGACUGACUUUGUUUGUCCACAUAACCAGAUAGACAGGUCCUGCAGUCCUGUACUGGCUGUUCCUGGAGAAGGCUGGGUAGGGUGUGUGAGACAGGAAGUGGGGUGAGUGUGAGAUGUUGCUGUUUGGCUAGUGGACAGUCAGUGGCCCUAUUUUGGUGGUUUGGUUGGAGUGCUGAUGUUUUGUGGGCAUCGUUGCGAUACAGUUAGACGGUGAUGACUGAAGAGGAGACUACUUCCUGUGACGUCAUCAUGACAACUGUCAAAGAAGACACACAUGAGAGGAUCAUGUCCAGACAAGACCAAGAGGAAAAGCUCACUAUUACAGACUGGUACAGUAUGUGUGUGACUCUCCAGCAGCAGGAGCUGAGGCUGUCUGAGGGCUCUUACAGACCUCCAGGCCAAGCCC
rnacentral:lncRNA from 1 species